rnacentral:rRNA from 1 species
UACAGAGGGGGCAAGCGUUGUUCGGAAUUACUGGGCGUAAAGGGCGUGUAGGCGGUCAGGUUAGUGAGAUGUGAAACGCCCCCGGCUCACCCGGGGACCUGCAUCUCAAACUGCCUGGCUUGAGUAUGGGAGAGGAUGAGGGAAUUCCUGGUGUAGCGGUGAAAUGCGUAGAGAUCGGGAGGAACACCGGUGGCGAAGGCGGGUCUCUGGGCAUCUCCUGACGCUGAGGCGCGAAAGCGUGGGGAGCAAACGGG